UCCCACAUCCCAACCCCUCCUCCAAACGUCUGGACUGAGUGAUCAAAAUAGAGGAAGAUGGUUGUCGCCGCAAUCCCUGGGCUUCGCCAGGCGCGGUUUAAUGGGUCGCCUGUCAGUUUCCUGCGCGCUGGAGGAGGUGACAACCCCGGGAACACGGCAGGGCCCGGAGGCCGGCAGGCUGCACGGUGCGCCCUCGCCUUGUCCUCCCAGCUCUCCCGGGGUGCUCCUCCCGAAACCGUGGUGGAGACGCCGACAUAGACAAGACUUGCUUUUUUUUCCCUCUCCCCUCUUUUUUCUUUCUUUUAAAACAAAGCGUCGAUUCAUUCCCUCUUCCCCCCCACCCCCAGCAACCGCGGUCCGGUGGGAUGGGCAGACGACAAGGUCGUUUUUUGUUGUUUAUUUUUUUCCCUUUUGCCCCAGCCUGCGAGUCCCUCCCUGAAACGCGGUGUCAGAUGGUUUUUACUGAUUAAUAUUUUGGACAGGCCGCAGCGGCGGGCAGGAUCCGUGGCCAAAACAACGGGUGUUGACGCAGUGGCCAGAGGACAGGCCAACCUUGAGCGCGGAUGUCUCUCCUGCUGCGCGCCUUUGUCCGCUCCAGGGAAUCCGCCUCUCACAUUUCUGCCCCAUGCAAUAGUGAACCCUGAUCUUCCAGAAUCCCGACGUUGCAGGCCGUGUGUAAAGGUUCUCCCGUGCUCCUCCCCCACAUAGGGUGCAUUUUUUUUUAAAGCCUGUAUCCAUCCCUUAGAGUGGACAAGAGGACACCCAAGCCUCCCCAUCCGUUGCCCUGAACCAUGUUUCCCAAGAGGUGCAUAAGGACAAGGUGCCUCCGAACUCCACUAAAGUCUAAAUGAAGGGGAGACCCCAAGGGAUCGCUGGCUUCAGACUCCCGGUGGAGAAGCCACGGACUGAGUCUCUAAUGCGCAGGUUUCCGCAGGUCCUAAAUCCGGCUACCCGGGAGCUCCCGGGCGGAUGCAGCUAAAACCCGGAGAGGCCGCGCCCAGCCCACCCCUGCUCCCCGCGUCUCUCGCUGCAACUGGCCCAUCAGCGGUUCUGUAUCCAAGAGGUUCAGUCAGCCGGAAGAGAGCAGCCCGAACCCGCCAGCAAGACCAAGGAUGCCAGCGCCUCGAAUGCCACCAGGUCCCCAGCGCACGACGGGCAGCCCUGGGGUGGUGGCGCCUGGCUCAGUGGCUGCAGAUUCCAGCUCCUCUCAGCCCCGCCUCCGACUCUGGCCUCUUCCUCUGGCUCGGGUCGGGUCUUCCACUCCACUGUUUGGCUCGGAGAGGACAUAGAAGCGUUUGUUUCGCAUGGGACUGGCUGGGGUCAUAAAUCUCUCCUACCCACCGCUCGCUUGCGGGUGUUCCAGGCCGGCCUUGCAUCCCGGGCAGGGCGGGACACUCUGCCCAGGUCACACAGCCUGGGGACCCCGAGACCACGCAGGGGAUCAAGCCAAGAGCUUCCCUUUCUCCAAAGAAAGAAACAGCCUCACUCCGUACUACUACUAGCAGUGUCAGGCUACUCCGAUCAUUGUCUCGGGUAGGGAAGUCUGGGCCCGGGUUCUUCCCUUUAGAGAGGCUUGGUGAGACUGGGUUUGGUGUGUGGCCCCUCGACCAUGGAAGGGUAACCCCAGGAUCUGUUUCUGAGCCGACUUCUCCUCUCUGGGGACCCUGCAAUAAUUAAUUUCACGACCUUGGAGCCCUCCGCGGGCGCACAAGGAUCGAUUUGGCGAGCGGGGGCGUCCGACAACUAAUCUCGGAAUUACUCUUGGAAUGCCUUCCCCUUCUUGCCAAGGACACCCGAAGAUUUUUCCCUUGGUGAUCGCGACUGCCACCACCGUGGUACUCAUAACCGAACCAUCUAGAAAGAAGUCAUUGGUUGUCUGUCGGUAGCGGGGUUAGGACGAAGGUCUCCCUGAGAAGGGACUGCCUGAGUGGGUGCAUCUGCAAAUAACGUUUAAUGCCACAGGAAUUCAAUCCUGGGGACCAGCACCAGUAAAGGGGCUUGGCAGAGGACUCAAGGUGAGGAAAAGCAUUCACCCCCUCCUGGGUGUCUGCCCGUGCCAGAUCCAGGGGCGCAGGGGCUUGGAAAUCUCGUUCUCACCCAAGGAGGUUUUGGGGCUCCUUAUAAGAUUUCCGAUAACACAUUCAGAAGGACCUAGGGCGCAGAGAAAUUAGAGCACAGAUCGAGGUUGCAGGGAAUGCGCUACAGGCUGCCGAUCCACAUUCCGGGCCAAGCCUCGGAAAAACAAAGCUUUGCCAGUUCCCGUCCCAAGGUUAAACUCCACCGCAAGCAUUUUUCUUUUUCUCCUCCCCCCCCUUUUUUUUUCUAACCCUUUCCUCUCCAGAAUCCGAACGAUAGCAUUAUUCCAAAUAAACUACCAAUAAAUCAGC